AGAGUGCAGCCAACUAUUUCAAUUGCCUAUAUAUAUAUAUAUAAAUAUAGGCAAUUGAAAUAGUUGGCUGCACACU